GAAGGUCACGGCGAGACGAGCCGUUUAUCAUUACGAUAGGUGUCAAGUGGAAGUGCAGUGAUGUAUGCAGCUGCGGUCUCUUAACAGACCGGUAGACUUGAAC
rnacentral:rRNA from 1 species